rnacentral:rRNA from 1 species
GCCGACGCUGGCGGCGUGCCUAAUACAUGCAAGUCGAACGCAAAACUUUCACCGAAUGCUUGCAUUCACCGAAAGUUUUGAGUGGCGAACGGGUGAGUAACACGUGGGUAACCUGCCCAGAAGAGGGGGAUAACACUUGGAAACAGGUGCUAAUACCGCAUAACAAUAAAAACCGCAUGGUUUUUAUUUAAAAGAUGGUUUUGCUAUCACUUCUGGAUGGACCCGCGGCGUAUUAGCUAGUUGGUAGGGUAAAGGCUUACCAAGGCAAUGAUACGUAGCCGAACUGAGAGGUUGAUCGGCCACAUUGGGACUGAGACACGGCCCAAACUCCUACGGGAGGCAGCAGUAGGGAAUCUUCCACAAUGGACGAAAGUCUGAUGGAGCAACGCCGCGUGAGUGAAGAAGGUUUUCGGAUCGUAAAACUCUGUUGUUAGAGAAGAACGUGUGUGAGAGUAACUGUUCAUGCAGUGACGGUAUCUAACCAGAAAGCCACGGCUAACUACGUGCCAGCAGCCGCGGUAAUACGUAGGUGGCAAGCGUUGUCCGGAUUUAUUGGGCGUAAAGGGAACGCAGGCGGUUUUUUAAGUCUGAUGUGAAAGCCUUCGGCUUAACCGAAGUCAUGCAUUGGAAACUGAAAGACUUGAGUGCAGAAGAGGAGAGUGGAACUCCAUGUGUAGCGGUGAAAUGCGUAGAUAUAUGGAAGAACACCAGUGGCGAAAGCGGCUCUCUGGUCUGUAACUGACGCUGAGGUUCGAAAGUGUGGGUAGCAAACAGGAUUAGAUACCCUGGUAGUCCACACCGUAAACGAUGAAUGCUAAGUGUUGGAGGGUUUCCGCCCUUCGGUGCUGCAGCUAACGCAUUAAGCAUUCCGCCUGGGGAGUACGACCGCAAGGUUGAAACUCAAAGGAAUUGACGGGGCCCGCACAAGCGGUGGAGCAUGUGGUUUAAUUCGAAGCAACGCGAGAACCUUACCAGGUCUUGACAUUUUCUGACAGCCUAAGAGAUUAG